AGAAAUAUAAGUUAUAUUAGACUUUUAGACUUUUAAUCUGAACGAACCUCAAAGGGUUAUUUUUA
rnacentral:tRNA from 1 species